rnacentral:rRNA from 1 species
GCAGUCGAGCGGUAGAGAAGGAGCUUGCUUCUUCUUGAGAGCGGCGGACGGGUGAGUAAUGCCUAGGAAUCUGCCUGGUAGUGGGGGACAACGUUUCGAAAGGAACGCUAAUACCGCAUACGUCCUACGGGAGAAAGUGGGGGAUCUUCGGACCUCACGCUAUCAGAUGAGCCUAGGUCGGAUUAGCUUGUAGGUGAGGUAAUGGCUCACCUAGGCAACGAUCCGUAACUGGUCUGAGAGGAUGAUCAGUCACACUGGAACUGAGACACGGUCCAGACUCCUACGGGAGGCAGCAGUGGGGAAUAUUGGACAAUGGGCGAAAGCCUGAUCCAGCCAUGCCGCGUGUGUGAAGAAGGUCUUCGGAUUGUAAAGCACUUUAAGUUGGGAGGAAGGGUUGUAGCUUAAUACGCUGCAACUUUGACGUUACCAACAGAAUAAGCACCGGCUAACUCUGUGCCAGCAGCCGCGGUAAUACAGAGGGUGCAAGCGUUAAUCGGAAUUACUGGGCGUAAAGCGCGCGUAGGCGGCUUGAUAAGAUGGGUGUGAAAUCCCCGGGCUUAACCUGGGAACUGCAUCCAUAACUGUCUGGCUAGAGUGCAGUAGAGGGUGGUGGAAUUUCCUGUGUAGCGGUGAAAUGCGUAGAUAUAAGAAGGAA